rnacentral:rRNA from 1 species
CCUACGGGAGGCUGCAGUGGGGAAUUUUGGACAAUGGGGGAAACCCUGAUCCAGCCAUUCCGCGUGAGUGAAGAAGGCCUUCGGGUUGUAAAGCUCUUUCGGCAGGAACGAAACGUUGCGGGCUAAUAUCCCGCAUCAAUGACGGUACCUGAAGAAGAAGCACCGGCUAACUACGUGCCAGCAGCCGCGGUAAUACGUAGGGUGCGAGCGUUAAGCGGAAUUACUGGGCGUAGUUCGGGAAGACACGGUUGAAAUCCCCGGGCUCAACCUGGGAACUGCGCUUGUGACUGCAAGACUGGAGUACGGCAGAGGGGGGUGGAAUUCCACGUGUAGCAGUGAAAUGCGUAGAGAUGUGGAGGAACACCGAUGGCGAAGGCAGCCCCCUGGGCUAGUACUGACGCUCAUGCACGAAAGCGUGGGGAGCAAACAGGAUUAGAUACCCCGGUAGUC